rnacentral:miRNA from 1 species
AGCCGUUCCUGAAGUGUCAAAU